CAGCAGCCGCGGUAACACGUAGGUCCCGAGCGUUGUCCGGAUUUAUUGGGCGUAAAGCGAGCGCAGGCGGUUAGAUAAGUCUGAAGUUAAAGGCUGUGGCUUAACCAUAGUACGCUUUGGAAACUGUUUAACUUGAGUGCAGAAGGGGAGAGUGGAAUUCCAUGCGUAGCGGUGAAAUGCGUAGAUAUAUGGAGGAACACCGGUGGCGAAGGCGGCUCUCUGGUCUGUAACUGACGCUGAGGCUCGAAAGCGUGGGGAGCGAACAGGAUUAGAUACCCGGGUAGUCCCUGUCUCUUAUACA
rnacentral:rRNA from 1 species